UUGAACCUGGGAGGUGAAGUUUGCAGUGAGCCUAGAUCACACCAUUGCACUCCAGCCUGGGCAACAGAUUGAGACUCUGUCUCAAAAAAAAAACAGAAAAAAAAGAAAAUUCAGUAAUCUGGUCGAUAUUCCCACAUCCAGUUCUUUGGGCUCUUCAAACAGAGCAGAUAGUAUCUGCUUUCUUGGCUUAAAUUGUGCAAAUUUGGUUCCUGGCUGAGAAGUAGACUCCAAACAGUUCUUCAGUGUUGCAGUGAUCAAACAUGUACUUCUACAGAAUCAUAAAUGUUGCCACACAGCUGCUAUUUUAUCAAUGAUCUUAUUGACAAAAACAAGAAGACCUAAUAUCUACUGAAACUGAAGUGACUUCCAACCAUGAAUAUUCCAUCCAGUGCUGUAAGUCAAAGUUGUUUUCUCUUCCAUAGAUGUGGUUGAAAUAUGAUUCAAAAAUUAUGUCUCAGAAAUAGAAAAGUGAAGAAAUUAUAACUUGUCAAGCAGAUUAAUUAUAUAGAGACCACAGACUUAAAAUCCAGAUAGAUUGGUUCAAAUUCAAACACCUUGAGUGUCAGUUUGUUCGGUGGAGUCAUGUUUUAGAAAGAUAAGCUCAUAAACUGUUCAAAUACAAACAACGUUAGCACCUCUCCUAGUUUACAAAUUCUGACCAACCAUAAUGUAAACCUCAAUUAUAAACUUCUGCUCUAAGAUCACCCUAUGACUAACCAUCCAAACAUAAAACCUCGUAGCUCAAGACCCUGGGGGAGUCUAUUGGGUGGAAUUAUUCAGCCAGUGGCUCCCUUGCUUAGUAAGUUUCUAAUAAAGUUAGCUUCUUUUUUUUUUUUUUUUUUUUUUAAUAAUCAGGUUUUUCUGGUGGUCUUACAUGAGUCUUUGAAAGCUCAUUCUGUAAUAUUCAGGAAGCAGUAAAGAAGUCUUUUUAUACCCUUGAACUUGCUUUCUUUCCUACUGUUUAUAGCCAAUGAUUCUGGGAUAGAGAAUUUAAGAAUAGCGAUGUUGUUUGUUCAAAUUACAUAUUCCCUUACUUUCCCCAAUCUCCAACAAGAUCCUGCCAUGCAACCCAAAACUCAGAAGCACAACUGCAGUAAGCCAGUGCCAGUGAAGGAGUGAACCUUUAGGGGGCCAAGGGCCUAUGACUCCUGCAGUGUGGCACAGCAAGCAGAGUGGACAAAGCCAUUCUUCUCUUCUGGAACCCACAGUGAAGAGAACCCAGGAACCUGAUCUGCCAGCCAAGAACUAGGAAUUUCUCACCAGCCAGGCUCUCUGUGGACUCCAGCUGGGUGGAUGGUAAAAAUCACUGUCUCAUCUCCAAGGUUCUUUUUUUGUUUUGUUUUUGUUUUUGUUUUUGUUUUAGAUAGGAUCUCACUUCAUCACCCAGGCUGGAGUGCAGUGGCACAAACACAGCUCACUGCAGCCCCGACCUCCAGGGCUCAAGUGAUCCUUCCACCUCAGCACCCCCAAGUUGCUGGGACUGCAGACAUGCACCACCAUGCCUAGGUAACAUUUUUAGUAUUUUUUGUAGAGAUGGAGUUUUGACAUGUUGCCAAGCCUGAUCUCAAACUCCUGGGCUCAAGUGAUUCUCCUGCCUCAGCCUCCCAAAGUGCUGGGAUUGCAGGUGUGAACCACCAUGUCCAACCUCAUCUGCAAAGUUUUGAUUAUGGGAAAAAAGGAUUUGUGUAACUAGUCUUGCACUGUGGUGACUCUGCUGUAACUCUGGUAUUUUGUGUUAUGAGUAUUCACAUCAUUUGAUCCCUUUUCCUCUAAUAUCCUUUUUUGUUGCCACUUUGCUUCUUCUUUCUGUGUCCU
rnacentral:lncRNA from 10 species